rnacentral:rRNA from 1 species
AUUGAACGCUGGCGGCAUGCUUUACACAUGCAAGUCGGACGGCAGCGGGGUAGUGCUUGCACUACUGCCGGCGAGUGGCGAACGGGUGAGUAACAUAUCGGAACGUACCGAGCAGUGGGGGAUAACUAAUCGAAAGAUUAGCUAAUACCGCAUAUAUUCUGAGGAAGAAAGCAGGGGACCUUUGGGCCUUGCGCUGUUUGAGCGGCCGAUAUCUGAUUAGCUGGUUGGUGGGGUAAAGGCCUACCAAGGCGACGAUCAGUAGCGGGUCUGAGAGGAUGAUCCGCCACACUGGGACUGAGACACGGCCCAGACUCCUACGGGAGGCAGCAGUGGGGAAUUUUGGACAAUGGGGGCAACCCUGAUCCAGCCAUGCCGCGUGUCUGAAGAAGGCCUUCGGGUUGUAAAGGACUUUUGUCCGGGAAGAAAAGCGCGAUGUUAAUACCAUGCGUGCUGACGUACCGGA